ACAGAUUCUAGAAAAUUUGUCUAGAAUAAUCAUUUACAUAUAGUAAAUACGAUACAUAGAUUGAACUCCAUAAUAAUUAGAUCUGAGGAUCCAAGAAGAAAGUCUGUUGGGUAAUCUGUAGUUGUUACGGCCUGAAAAAUUAUUUCAGAAAUCCCAGUUGCACAGACGUAAAGUACAGUAUAGUCUGUGGCCUGAAGAUGUACUAUAGAUACUAAUAUGUGAAUACUAGGAAGUUGGAGAACCAAACCGAAAAUCGCCAGAAUGGAUAAGGUUGCCCCAAUCUUCUUCUCGUGCGGUUCCUGAGGGGAAAAUUACCGCCGUCGGCGGCGGACACGAGGGCUCGCCGGGCCAGGGAGAGGAUCCAGGCGCCACCAAACCUCGUACGCGAGGACGCCGCCGUUGCUCGGACUUGAGCGCGGGCCACCUCCACCGCGUGAUGCGGCUGCUCUGUGGAGAGCCGGGCCGAGGCCCGCUCGGAGGAGCGGCGUGUCGUGGCUGUGGUGUCCGCCGCGCCCGGAGGACUGAUGCUUCUGCGACCGUCCUCGACGAGGUUGUUGCCGCUACAGUGAUGGCGAGACGGCGAGACGGCGAGCAGCAGUGGCCGCUAGUUCCAGUUCAAGAAAUUAGAAAAAGACAUGGAUUUCUUCCGGUUGAUGCUUCAGCCACCUAUUCAUCUCGCCAUGCUCACAUGCUCGGAUGAAGCGAUGCACUAUGUGGUGCAGAAAAUGCAGUUAAUUUCGAGAUCACUGGAAGAAAACAAAUACUUAAUUACUAAAUGGAAUUAGUGUUUCCUGAUCGAUUUCUCUUAUGGCUGUUUUAGGCAUUCGUGCCGAGAGGAGCCAGGCCGAGGGGAGCGUCGUUGCGCCGAUGCGCGCCACUGCCUCCUGUCUCGCAGCGGGCUGCAACGAUGAGACUCUGUGCGCGUGCCGGCCGGAGGGUGUCGCUGCAGAGGGUGGUCGGCCAUGGCCAUAUCCUCCGCGCCGUCGAUUUGCGUGGAUGUGAGCCUUUUCUUGUUCUGCUCUUUUUGUUUGUAGUUCAAGAAUGAUCAAUUCUUCGUGAGAUUCGUGUGAGCGCAUAUAUACAUACAGGGUGAACAAUCCAUUGUUAGAUCACUGUUUGACCACAAGAAAACAUGAUCUAAUAGGCAAAGAUUAAAAUAGGGAAACACUAUUAGUUUUCCUGAUCAAGGCCUUUAAUCCUUGGAUCAUUGGGGAUCAACAAGAUCUGUUCUUCAUCCUCUGCAAUGAUGUUCUGCUCUUC